rnacentral:rRNA from 1 species
CCUACGGGAGGCAGCAGUAGGGAAUAUUGCUCAAUGGGGGAAACCCUGAAGCAGCAACGCCGCGUGGAGGAUGAAGGUUUUAUGAUUGUAAACUCCUUUUGUGAGAGAAGAUAAUGACGGUAUCUCACGAAUAAGCACCGGCUCACUCCGUGCCAGCAGCCGCGGUAAUACGGAGGGUGCAAGCGUUACUCGGAAUCACUGGGCGUAAAGCGUGCGCAGGCGGGCUUGUAAGUCAGAUGUGAAAUCCUGUAGCUUAACUACAGAACUGCAUUUGAAACUAUGAGUCUAGAGUGUGGGAGAGGUAGGUGGAAUGCUUGGUGUAGGGGUAAAAUCCGUAGAUAUCAAGAGGAAUACUCAUUGCGAAGGCGACAUACUGGAACAUUACUGACGCUCAUGCACGAAAGCGUGGGGAGCAAACAGGAUUAGAUACCCCAGUAGUC